AACAAUGCAAGUCGAACGAUGAAGCCCAGCUUGCUGGGUGGAUUAGUGGCGAACGGGUGAGUAACACGUGAGUAACCUGCCCCUGACUCUGGGAUAAGCCCGGGAAACUGGGUCUAAUACCGGAUAUGACUUUUGACCGCAUGGUUGAGGGUGGAAAGAUUUAUCGGUUGGGGAUGGACUCGCGGCCUAUCAGCUUGUUGGUGAGGUAAUGGCUCACCAAGGCGACGACGGGUAGCCGGCCUGAGAGGGUGACCGGCCACACUGGGACUGAGACACGGCCCAGACUCCUACGGGAGGCAGCAGUGGGGAAUAUUGCACAAUGGGCGCAAGCCUGAUGCAGCGACGCCGCGUGAGGGAUGACGGCCUUCGGGUUGUAAACCUCUUUCAGUAGGGAAGAAGCGAAAGUGACGGUACCUGCAGAAGAAGCGCCGGCUAACUACGUGCCAGCAGCCGCGGUAAUACGUAGGGCGCAAGCGUUAUCCGGAUUUAUUGGGCGUAAAGAGCUCGUAGGCGGUUUGUCGCGUCUAUCGUGAAAGUCCGAGGCUCAACCUCGGAUCUGCGGUGGGUACGGGCAGACUAGAGUGAUGUAGGGGAGACUGGAAUUCCUGGUGUAGCGGUGAAAUGCGCAGAUAUCAGGAGGAACACCGAUGGCGAAGGCAGGUCUCUGGGCAUUUACUGACGCUGAGGAGCGAAAGCAUGGGGAGCGAACAGGAUUAGAUACCCUGGUAGUCCAUGCCGUAACGUUGGGCACUAGGUGUGGGGGACAUUCCACGUUUUCCGCGCCGUAGCUAACGCAUUAAGUGCCCCGCCUGGGGGA
rnacentral:rRNA from 1 species